rnacentral:rRNA from 1 species
UGAGGGUAGGGGUGAAAGGCUAAUCAAACUGAGAAAUAGCUCGUACUCCCCGAAAUGCUUUUAGGAGCAGUGUGGAGGUUGAGUUUAGUACAGGUAGAGCUACCAAUUGGACUAGGGGGAGUCAUAUCCUACCAAAUCCAGAUGAACUCCGAAUGGUACUAAAUAUACUCUGCAAUGAGGGCGCGGGUGCUAAGGUCCGUGUCCGAGAGGGAAAGAACCCAGACCUACAGCUAAGGUCCCAAAAUCUAUACUAAGUUGAACUAAGGAGGUCCAGUUGCUGAGACAGCCAGGAGGUUAGCUUGGAAGCAGCUAUUCCUUUAAAGAGUGCGUAACAGCUCACUGGUCGAGCGACAGGGCAUCGAUAAUAAUCGGGCAUCAAGUAUAGUACCGAAGCUUAGGAUUUAUGCAGUAAUGCAUGAGUGGUAGGGGAGCAUUCUAUCAGCGGAGAAGCCAAGAGAUAACUUGAGGUGGAGCAGAUAGAAAAGCAAAUGUAGGCAUAAGUAACGAUAAGGCGGGUGAGAAACCCGCCCACCGAUAGACUAAGGGUUCCGCGGCAAUGUUAAUCAACCGCGGGUAAGUCGGGGCCUAAGGCAAAACCGAAAGGUGUAGUCGAUGGACAACCGGUUAAUAUUCCGGUACUACCGUAAAGAGCGAUGAGGAGAAGGAGUAGUGACAGCUACGCGUGCUGACGGAAUAGCACGUUAAAGGGAGUAGGUAUAGGGAGUGUAGGAAAAUCCGCACUUUUUGCUGAAUCCUGAUAGUACGGGGAGGCUUCGGCCGAACUGAUAGUUAGCGUAAGCAGACUUCCGAGAAAAUCCACUAAGCAUAUUUUUAUGGUACCCGUACCGCAAACCGACACAGGUAGUCAAGGAGAGAAUCCUGAGGUGCUCGAGUGAAUCAUGGCUAAGGAACUCGGCAAAUUAACCCUGUAACUUCGGGAGAAGGGGUGCCACCAGCAAUGGUGGUCGCAGAGAAAUGGCCCAGGCGACUGUUUAACAAAAACACAUGGCUAUGCGAAAUCGCAAGAUGAAGAAUAUGGCCUGACACCUGCCCGGUGCUGGAAGGUUAAGGGGGGAAGUUAGCGCGCAAGUGCAAAGCUUUGAACUGAAGCCCCAGUAAACGGCGGCCGUAACUAUAACGGUCCUAAGGUAGCGAAAUUCCUUGUCGGGUAAGUUCCGACCUGCACGAAUGGUGUAACGAUCUGGGCGCUGUCUCAGCCAUGAGCUCGGUGAAAUUGUAGUCACGGUGAAGAUGCCGUGUACCCGUCACGGGACGGAAAGACCCCGUGCACCUUUACUAUAGCUUCACAUUGGGAUUGGGAGAAUGAUGUGUAGGAUAGGUGGGAGGCAUUGAUCCUGGGCCGCUAGGUUCAGGGGAGCCAAUGGUGAAAUACCACCCUUUAUUUUCUUGAUUCCUAACCCCGACUUUUGUCGGGGGACAUUGUGUGGUGGGUAGUUUGACUGGGGUGGUCGCCUCCGAAAGUGUAUCGGAGGCUUUCAAAGGUACCCUCAGCACGGUUGGUAAUCGUGCGUGGAGUGCAAUAGCAUAAGGGUGCUUGACUGUGAGAUCGACGGAUCGAGCAGGGACGAAAAAG